GACUCCUUUAAAUACCACUACUACCUUAACCUCCAAGCAAACCUCCUAAUACAUAUCUGCAAACAACUCAACUUAUCGCUAAAAACCUAGCUAAUUAACCUAGCCGUAAGCCAACAACCUACUUGUCGAACUAGGACUCUGCUAUGUUGUGUUGGACGUAGAACUUGCACUUGGAUUUAGACUUUUGACGUUCAUACUGGAUCCCCCAUGUGACACCUGAUUACAUCUGCUGAACGAUGUUGAUGAUGUGUCCAAAUUCAUGCCUCGCAAGCCUAAUUUGUCGCUCGAGUCCUCAAUAAGACAACUACAAGCAGUUAGCAAUCCUCUAUAUGCAGAAUUGUCUAUAGCUUCUUUAAUUAAAACAAAUGUGAGGAUGCAUUAAUUAAAGACAUGAAUUAGUGAAGAACUCACCACCUUAUGGACCCUCUUUUGUCUUCACAUAGCUGCUUGGAGAGUUGUAGAGCUACACGGUGCUAUAUCCUAGUGUUUAAUGGGAGUAAUCCUAGUGUGGCCUUUGGUGCAUGACUGGAGCCUCCAAACUCAGUGAGUUUCUUAGUAG
rnacentral:lncRNA from 1 species